rnacentral:rRNA from 1 species
GACGAACGCUGGCGGCGUGCUUAACACAUGCAAGUCGAGCGGUAAGGCCCUUUCGGGGGUACACGAGCGGCGAACGGGUGAGUAACACGUGGGUGACCUGCCCUCAGCUCUGGGAUAAGCCUGGGAAACCGGGUCUAAUACUGGAUAUGACUCCAUGACGCAUGUUGUGGGGUGGAAAGCCUUGUGCGGCUGAGGAUGGGCCCGCGGCCUAUCAGCUUGUUGGUGGGGNGAUGGCCUACCAAGGCGACGACGGGUAGCCGGCCUGAGAGGGCGACCGGCCACACUGGGACUGAGACACGGCCCAGACUCCUACGGGAGGCAGCAGUGGGGAAUCUUGCGCAAUGGGCGAAAGCCUGACCCAGCGACGUCGCGUU